GACAGAGGGUGCAAGCGUUGUUCGGAAUCAUUGGGCGUAAAGGGCGCGUAGGCGGUUUUGCAAGUCGAAUGUGAAAGCCCAGGGCUCAACCUUGGAAGUGCAUCCGAAACGGCCUCGCUCGAGUCUCGGAGAGGAAGGUGGAAUGCUUGGUGUAGAGGUGAAAUUCGUAGAUAUCAAGCAGAACACCUGCGGCGAAGGCGGCCUUCUGGACGAUGACUGACGCUGAGACGCGAAAGCGUGGGGAGCAAACAGG
rnacentral:rRNA from 1 species